rnacentral:tRNA from 1 species
GCCUUUUUAGCUCAGUUGGCAGAGCAUGCGGCUGUUAACCGCAGGGUCGUAGGUUCGAGCCCUACAAAAGGCG